GCGUUGAUUGCUCAGUUGGCAGAGCAGUUGGACGGUCCCACCGGCCCCGGGUUCGAUUCCCGGUCGACGCU